UUCAGGGAUUUAUUCUGAUGUUACUGAACAAGAAUGCAUUGUUGAUUAAAUUUGCUUAACAACCUGCUUACAUUUAUCUGGAAUGGAAACAGAGAGUGACUAUGUUUUCAGAAACGAAAGAUUAUUGUCUGUGGGCAGGGCUUAAGCUUACACUAUAAAUUCAUGCCACUUGUCCCGAAUACGUCAUUGGUGUGAUUUACCUGACUUCAGAAUAUUCAUCCGAGUUUAAGAUAUGAACACUUCGGCAAACCACGUAAUGGAACUGUCAAUAAGACUGCUGGGAGGAGUUCCGAAGACUCUUAAAGUGAGCGGUGAAGCCACAACAUCAAACCAAAAAGCACCAUUCAAAUGACUCUCCGUCUGCGAGGAGGAGGUUAAAUUAUCGCGCUUAUCUCCGAUCUUACUAUUUUAAUGACUAAACACUAGACAUGCCAAAAGAGGAAAACUCAUAAUAAAAUAUUAUUUUAUUCGGUCUGGAAAAGAGUGUCUACUAAAUUAUUGCAACUAUGCCUGUCUACAAGUAGUAUCAGAGUACGUAUUCAUAUGUUGAUGAUUUCAGGAAUAGUUUCCAGAAAUUAAACCUUAUUGUUUGUGGGCGGGGCUUAAGACAAUAUUUGACGCUGGAGUGACUUAUCUGUUAUCAAAUAGACUAUAUACAUCUUUUAAUGUUAUUGCACGUAAAAUUAAUAUACGCUAAACUAUUUUUUAAAUUAAGGAUCUAUUAGUAUCAAGAUAUUUGUUCGAUUUUUAUUAUAUUUAUUUAUUAGUUGUGAUUUAAUGUAUUCAUGUCAUUUAAUAGAUGUGUAAAAUAUGUAAUAAGUCAAGUGUAUUUCUUCCUCAUACAGUUCCAGAUUAAGAUUUCUGUAUAUGUUCUUGUGAACCCCUUUCUUGCUAAAUAAAAGAUAAAUGGUCAAACCAG